CGGAAGGCAGCAGUGGGGAAUAUUGGACAAUGGGGGAAACCCUGAUCCAGCUACGCCGCGUGAGCGAAGAAGUAUUUCGGUAUGUAAAGCUCUAUCAGCAGGGAAGAUGAUGACGGUACCUGACUAAGAAGCCCCGGCUAACUACGUGCCAGCAGCCGCGGUAAUACGUAGGGGGCAAGCGUUAUCCGGAUUUACUGGGUGGAAAGGGAGUGUAGGCGGCCAGACAAGUCAGAUGUGAAAGCCCGGGGCUCAACCCCGGGACUGCAUUUGAAACUGUAGGGCUAGAGUACUGGAGAGGCAAGCGGAAUUCCUAGUGUAGCGGUGAAAUGCGUAGAUAUUAGGAAGAACACCAGUGGCGAAGGCGGCUUGCUGGACAGAGACUGACGCUGAGGCUCGAAAGCGUGGGGAGCAAACAGGAUUAGAUACCCUGGUA
rnacentral:rRNA from 1 species